AAUAUGGGACAAUUGGGGCAACCCUGAUCCAGCCAUGCCGCGUGUGUGAAGAAGGUCUUCGGAUUGUAAAGCACUUUAAGUUGGGAGGAAGGGCUUUAGGCUAAUACCCUGAAGUUUUGACGUUACCAACAUAAUAAGCAUCGUCUAACUCUGUCCCAGCAGCCGCGGUAAUACAGAGGGUGCAAGCGGUAAUUGGAAUUACUGGGCGUAAAGCGCGGGUAGGUGGUUCAGUAAUAUGGGUGUGAAAUCCCCGGGCUUAACCUGGGAACUGCUUUCAUAACUUCUGCGCUAGAGUACGGUAGAGGGUAGUGGAAUUUCCUGUGUAGCGGUGAAAUGCGUAGAUAUAGGAAGGGACACCAGUGGCGAAGGCGACUACCUGGACUGAUACUGACACUGAGGUGCGAAAGCGUGGGGAGCAAAC
rnacentral:rRNA from 1 species